AACGAACGCUGGCGGCAGGCCUAACACAUGCAAGUCGAGCGCGCCCUCCGGGGUUAGCGGCGGACGGGUGAGUAACGCGUGGGAACGUGCCCUUUUCUACGGAAUAGCCUCGGGAAACUGAGAGUAAUACCGUAUACGCCCAUUGGGGGUAAGAUGUUUGGGGACAGGAUCGGCCCGCGUUGGAUUAGGUGGUUGGUGGGGUAAUGGCCUGCCAAGCCGACGAUCCAUAGCUGGUUGGGGAGGAGGACAAGCCGCACUGGAGAUGAGACACGGCCUACACCCCGACGGGAGGGAGCAGUAGAGAGCAUUAGGCAAUGGGGCCAACUGUAGCCUCGCCGUGUGGGGGGAGAGAUGAAUGCCUUAGGGUUGUAAAGCCGUUUGUGAUGGAAAGAUAAUGACGGUACCGGCUAAAGAAGCCCCGGCUAACUCCGUG
rnacentral:rRNA from 1 species